GGGAAACUAAAGAAUAUUGGUGCCUUUGAUGACAAGACUCUGAAUAGAAUAUUGAUAACACCUGGAAAUCGGAAGAAAGCUAACAAGAUUCAAUGGGAACCUUUCCUCUGAGGUGAGAAGCAUUCUAAUACCAGGGUCAAGGAGAUAUGAGAAAGCACCUUUAAGUAGAAGGGAGACAGACAGAACUUUUCUCAACAGAGAAUACAGCACCAUUAUGGUCCAAUUUCAGGUCUUAAAAGCUGAGCCCUGCUGCUGUCUCCGAAUUGUUCCUAAGCUAUCU